GCCUUUGUGACAUAGUGGUUUCAGUGUUGGAUUAUGACUCUGGAGACUAAGGUUUGAUUCCCAGCUCAGGCA
rnacentral:tRNA from 1 species